AGAGUUUGAUCCUGGCUCAGGGUGAACGCUGGCGGCGCGCUUAAUGCAUGCAAGCCGAGCGUGCCCCUCGGGCUUCGGCCCGUUGGGGAAAGCGGCAGACGGCUGAGUAACGCGUGAGUAACCUGCCCUCUGGUGGGGAAAAACCACGGGAAACUGUGGUUAAUCCCGCAUAAGAUCCCACCGCCUUGGCAGUGGGAUGAAAGCCUUACGGCGUCAGGGGAGGGGCUCGCGUCCUAUCAGGUAGUUGGUGGGGUAACGGCCCACCAAGCCUAUGACGGGUAGCUGGUCUGAGAGGACGAUCAGCCAGAGGGGGACUGAGACACGGCCCCCACUCCUACGGAAGGCAGCAGCAGGGAAUUUUGGGCAAUGGGCGAAAGCCUGACCCAGCGACGUCGCGUGGGGGAUGAAGGCCUUUGGGCUGUAAACCCCUUUUCCAAGGGAAGAGUAAGGACG
rnacentral:rRNA from 1 species